UGAUUUGGUAUCUGAAAAAUGGGUUGAUACGUAAUUUGUGAGUUAAUUAUUUUUUUGGUAAAUGGUUUUUAUCUGAUAAAUGAUUCGUUAUCUAUGUAGUAAUUGAUAUUUUUUAUUUGUUAUCUAUUAGUUAAAUGGUUGUCCUAAGUCAUCGUCUGGUCUAUGUUGAUACUUCUUGUGCCGAGGAAAUCCAUUCUCAUCCUUGGACUCCCCUCCGGUGCAUAAACUUGUUAGAAAAAUUUUGUUAGAUGAUACAUUGUUUGUUAACUAAUACAUAUUUUGAUAACAUUUAUGUUAGUUGUUAUUUACUUAGUUACAAGAUAAUGUUUAUGUUUAAUUUUAACAAUUUUACUUUUUUUGUUUUACAUAUUUUGUUUGAGAAAAGAGAAGGAAAAUAAUAAGAAAAAGAGCGUAAAAUAAAAGUAAAAGUCGUGGGAAAAAAAAAAAAGAAAGAGAAUGUGAGAGUGUAAGGGGAAAGUGAAUGUGAAAGUAUAAGAGGAAAGAAAAAGAGUGUAAGAAUGUGUAAGAUGAAAGAGAGUGUAAAAAAUUAUUUUUUUUGAAAAUCUAAGGUAAGAAAUGUAAAGCAAUCUAAACAUAUGUCAAAUCAUGUGUAACUCGUUAAUUCUUACAUAUGACAUAUGUGUAGAUUGUUAAUUUUGACAUCAUUUAUGUAUAUUAAGCAAAUUCUCUCUUAUAUAAAUUACAAAGAGACAUAGAAAUUUGUUUUGUUAUGUUAUACCUCAUUUCUUUUAUAU
rnacentral:lncRNA from 1 species